AAUUUCGCACCAACAAUGGUUUUAUAAACAAUAAAAGUGUCCAAAAAUUUUUGCAAAUAAGAACAUCACGAAUUCAUCUAUCAUGAAAUGCGAAAGAUUCCAUCGCGCUCGGUAAUUUCCUCACCGAGUUAAAUCAUAUAAUAGGAAUUUUGCGAUAACAAUAGUUAUAAACAAUACAGAAAUUCAUAAAUUUUUGCAUCUGUGAUCAUUGCGUAAACCUCUCAGGCGGCAAAAUGUAAGGGGUUUCAUCAAUUUCAUCGGUUUCAGGCCAAACAUACGUGAAAUAGUACGCUUUUUGCGAUAAAAAGUGAUAUAAAGUGGUAAAAAAUAAGACAAGGACAAAUGUUUUGCUAUGGGACCAAAUGGCAAAUGCUCUUCCAGAUGCAAGGAGUUUGAAUCCGAUUGGUCCAUCCGUCUCGGAGUAAGAAACAAGACAAAAUGUUUCUGUUUAAAAAAAAGAAAACAGGUAAAAAAUGACAAAUCACAAAAUGUUUCUUUUACGCGACCAACUGGAAGAAAUAUUCGACAAAAUACAAGAGGUUUCACUCCGAUUCAUCAAGCCAUCUCGAUGUAAUCGGCAAGCAGACCUAAAAAUCACGGUUUUUUGGUAAAAAUACGGGUAAAAAAUGACAAAUUGCAAAAAGUCGUGAUAAUGGGACCACCGGGGGGGGGGCAUGCUCUACAAGAUGCAACAGGAUUCAUUCCGAUUGGUCAAGUCAUCUCGGUGUAAUCAGUGAAUAGACAUUAAAAAAAAAACA